UAUAAAUGUCACAUUUAACUUUUAUAUUGUGAUAAAUGAUAAUAACAUCUCAUAAUUCUAUAUUCUGAUUUCGGCUUGGUUUGCUUCAAAGUUGAGCGAGAGAUAUAUUUGGGCGUUUCCUCUAUCUCCAUUGUUAAAGAUUGUUUUCAGGAAGCAAAUUUUUACAAGUUUGCUUCAAAUGCUAGUUUCUGCAACUGCAACGUCGGGAUUGCCAUGAGAUGAUUGGCCCUUGAAACAACAAGGCCAAAUUCCUCAUUCAUGUCCAGUUCCUCUGGCAACUUAUCAUUUGGCAGCUGCCAAUCGAAGCGUUGGACUAACUGUGACACGAUCAGUCGAAGUUGGAUGAGCCCCAGUUGGAUUCUGGGGCAACCUCUCCUCCCAGACCCAAAUGGUAGGAGCUGGAAAUGCUGUCCCUUAACAUCAAUGUCACUUCCAGUGAACCUUUCCGGAAUGAACAUUUCCGGAUCAGUCCAUACAUUUGGAUCACGUCCAAUUGCAUAGGCGUUUACGAGUAUUCUUGAAUCUUUUGAUAUGUCAUAGCCAUUAACCUUGCUGUCUUCCCUAGAAUAGUGAGGAACCAACAGCGGAACCGCUGGAUGCAGCCUAAAGCCUUCCUUUACAAACACUCCUCAACCAUCCUCUUCAAUCCCACAACUUGUUCCAACUCUUUCUGUAGUUUCUUCAUAACUGUUGGAUUUCUCAACAGGUCGGAGAAUAUCCACUCAACCGAUGCUGCUGCUGCGUCCAUUGAAGCUGUGAGCAAGUCCUGCAAAUGAAAUUCGUCAUCAACUUAUUGCUGAGCAAAUGUAUAUCCAAAAAAGAUGUAGAAUUAUUCAUUGGACCAUGUGCUUACCAUCAUAAUGGCCUUGAUAUUACGUCUGUCGAACUGAAAUUCAGAUUCUCCACUUUGCAUUAUGGACAUCAUGGUAUCAACAAUGUCUUUGGCCUGCUCAGGACGAUCCCCUGCUCGAGCAUGGUCUUCUAUAAUUUUCUCAAAAAAUCAUCAAAAACUUUUGCGAGUGCCUUCAUCUUCCUUGUCAUCCCUUGGAGAUCCAAAACUCCAAGGAAAGGAAAGUAAUCACCCAAAUUGGGAACUGCUACUAGUUUAGUCCAUUCUUGGAUCACAGUUUUGAAGCCUCUCUCAUCUAUGUCCUUGUCAGCAUAUUUCUUGCCAAACACUAGUCUGCAGCUCAUCUCUGCGGUCAGGGACGCGACCUUGGCACUAAGAUCAACCGCAACGUGUUGUCGGGAUGCUUCCUUGAGGGAUUCAACAAAAUGAGCAAGCGUCUCCCUUCUCAUAGGCCGGAAAGAAUUGAUCUUAAGGGGGCUGAGCAGCUCCACGGUGCAUAGCUUGCGCAUGUUCCGCCAAUACGGACUGUAAGCCCCAAAUGCCAGAUUCCUCUGAUCCCAUGAGAGAUACUUAGCAGCCUGAUGAGGUGGUCUGCUGGCAAAAACAAGAUCGUGUGUUUUGAGGAAAAGCUCAGCUGCCUCAGGAGAUGAAACGACGAUGAUUGGAACGAACCCAAAUCGCAUGUACAUAAUGGGGCCGUGGUCUUUGGCAAUCCUUUGCAGAUCUUGGUGAGGAUUCUUCCCCAGCAUGUGUAGAUUUCCCAGAAUAGGGACCCCUUUUGGACCUGGAGGCCGCUUCUUCUUCGUCCUCGUAGCCAACGAAGCCAAAGAACCAGCUAAAAUGGCCACGACCGAAAGCCAAAACCAAGAGGGUAAAUCCAAGUCCAACGACGGUGUAACGCCAACGCCGCCGAGCACGCCUUCUGGAGUCCUCAAGCAGAACACUUCCGAGAAGCGGCGGCCGCCUGUUGGUACGGCGGAAAGCGUGGGCAGCCUUACCCCCAAAUCUGACGCUAUAAAGGUGAAACUCCAUAACCAAGCACAAUUUGUUCAUGCCGAUGAGGUAUCUACUCCCAAUUCGGCUAAGCAACAGAGAUAACGAUCAAGAUUUCCUUGCUGCCAGGGUCAGGCUGAGUAGUGUCAACAACAAAGAAAAACUAAAUAAUUGAAUCCAAUAGUUUAGGAAUUAGUAGGAUUUUGUUUUUUUCUUUUUUUUUUUUCCUUUU